rnacentral:misc_RNA from 1 species
AUGCUCGAGCUGCUCGCGCGGCGAGAGCGGGCCGCCGCGUGCCGGCCGGGGGACGGACCGGGAACGGCCCCCUCGGGGGCCUUCCCCGGGCGUCGAACACCGACUCAGAACUGAAUCCAAGCUAGCAACCGGCGCCUCUGCUCGCCGCCCGCCCCGACCCACGUUAGGGCGUUCGCGCCCCAAGGGCCCGUGCCAUUGGCUCAGCCCGCCCGGCCGACGCGCCGCGGCGGGCCGCCUCGAAGCUCCCUUCCCAACGGGCGGCGUGCUGAAUCCUUUGCAGACGACUUAAAACGCGACGGGCAUUGUAAGUGGCAGAGUGGCCUUGCUGCCACGAUCCACUGA